rnacentral:rRNA from 1 species
UUGAACGCUGGCGGCAGGCCUAACACAUGCAAGUCGAACGGUAACAGGAAGCAGCUUGCUGCUUCGCUGACGAGUGGCGGCCGGGUGAGUAAUGUCUGGGAAACUGCCUGAUGGAGGGGGAUAACUACUGGAAACGGUAGCUAAUACCGCAUAACGUCGCAAGACCAAAGAGGGGGACCUUAGGGCCUCUUGCCAUCGGAUGUGCCCAGAUGGGAUUAGCUAGUAGGUGGGGUAACGGCUCACCUAGGCGACGAUCCCUAGCUGGUCUGAGAGGAUGACCAGCCACACUGGAACUGAGACACGGUCCAGACUCCUACGGGAGGCAGCAGUGGGGAAUAUUGCACAAUGGGCGCAAGCCUGAUGCAGCCAUGCCGCGUGUAUGAAGAAGGCCUUCGGGUUGUAAAGUACUUUCAGCGGGGAGGAAGGGAGUAAAGUUAAUACCUUUGCUCAUUGACGUUACCCGCAGAAGAAGCGCCGGCUAACUCCGUG